rnacentral:rRNA from 1 species
AGUGAACGCUGGCGGUAGGCCUAACACAUGCAAGUCGAACGGCAGCACAGUAAGAGCUUGCUCUUACGGGUGGCGAGUGGCGUACGGGUGAGGAAUACAUCGGAAUCUACUUUUUCGUGGGGGAUAACGUAGGUAAACUUACUCUAAUACCGCAUACGACCUACGGUUGAAAGCAGGGGAUCUUCGGACCUUGCGCGAUUGAAUGAGCCGAUGUCGGAUUAGCUAGUUGGCGGGGUAAAGGCCCACCAAGGCGACGAUCCGUAGCUGGUCUGAGAGGAUGAUCAGCCACACUGGAACGGAGACACGGUCCAGACGCCUACGGGAGGCAGCAGUGGGGAAUAUUGGACAAUGGGCGCAAGCCUGAUCCAGCCAUACCGCGUGGGUGAAGAAGGCCUUCGGGUUGUAAAGCCCUUUUGUUGGGAAAGAAAAGCAGCAGGUUAAUACCCCGCUGUUCUGACGGUACCCAAAGAAUAAGCACCGGCUAACUUCGUG